rnacentral:rRNA from 1 species
AUAUGAAUCCCUCAUCACUAACAGGCCAACCUAUUACAAUAGGAGAAUUAAUGCUAGAAUGAGUAACCAGGGUAACUCCCUCUACGACGCAAGCUUACAUCUGUACAUUAUUAACAAGCACCCAAUAUACGACAAAUCCAACAAGCACAGUAUUAAACAUCUUGUUAACCCGACAGAGGAGCGUCCGUUAAGAAAGAUUAAAACCUGUAAAAGGAACUCGGCAAACACGUCAAGGCCCGACUGUUUACCAAAAACAUAGCCUUCAGCAAACCAAAAGACAAGUAUUGAAGGUGAUGCCUGCCCGGUGACACAGUUCAACGGCCGCGGUAUCCUAACCGUGCAAAGGUAGCGCAAUCAAUUGUCCCGUAAAUCGGGACACGUAUGAAUGGCUAAACGAGGUCUUAACUGUCUCUUACGGGCAAUCGGUGAAAUUGAUCUCCCUGUGCGAAAGCAGGGAUAACCACAUAAGACGAGAAGACCCUGUGGAACUUCAAAAACAGCAACCACCCCAAUAUACCUUCACACCCAAAGCACUGGUUAGCAUUUUUUCGGUUGGGGCGACCUUGGAGCAAAACAAAACCUCCAAAAACUGGACCAUACCUCCAAACUAAGAGCAACCCCUCAACGUGCUAAAAGCACCCAGACCCAAUAUAAUUGAUCAAUGGACCAAGCUACCCCAGGGAUAACAGCGCGAUCUCCCCCGAGAGUCCAUAUCGACGGGGAGGUUUACGACCUCGAUGUUGGAUCAGGACAUCCUAGUGGUGCAGGAGCUACUAAGGGUUCGUUUGUUCAACGAUUAACAGUCCUACGUGAUCUGAGUUCAGACCGGAGCAAUCCAGGUCGGUUUCUAUCUAUGAUGAACUCUUCCUCGUACGAAAGGAUCGGAAAAGUGAGGCCAAUACCACAAGCAAGCCUUCGCCUUAAGUAAUGAAGCCAACUCAAUUACAAAAGGCUAUCACACUCCACUACGUCCAAGAAAAGGAC